CACCAGUUCCCCCCGCGAUAUCGAAGCGGACGCACGUUCUGAAGUUUUGGCGCCAUCCCGGUGCGUGAGACCGGUGUCACCGAUUAUCAUGUCAUUCGAAAAUGAACAGCGUCGGCUCGAGUCUCUUCUACAAGAAGUACUCGAUGAGGACGGGCCAUCAACGCCAUCAGACAUCGCCAUCAGACAAGUGCAAAAAAUAUUUGUGUCUUGAACAUGUAGUGCCUUUCUGCAGAAGCUGUUUGACUGAAGAAUAGUCAUUUUUUAUAUU